UGACAGAGUGAGACCUUGUCUUUAAAAAUAAAAGUUCAAACAUGCAGGCUGGGCAUGGUGGCAAACGCCUGUAAUCUCAGCAUUUUGGGAUCUCCCCAAGAUGGGAAGAUUGCUUGAGUUUGAGACUAGCCUGGGCAACACAGUGAGACCCUUGUCUCUCUAUUUUAAAAAAAUCAGGCCGGGGGCAGUGGCUUAUGCCUGUAAUCCCAGCACUUUGGGAGGCCGAGGUGGGUGGAUCACGAGGUCAAGAGAUCGAGACCAUUCUGGCCAACAUGGCGAAACCCCAUCUCUAUCAAAAAUACAAAAGUUAGCUGGGUGUGAUGGCACAUGCCUGUAGUCCCAGCUACUUGGGAGGCUGAGACAGGAGAAUCGCUUGAACCAGGGAGUCGGAGGUUGCAGUGAGCUGAGAUCGCGCCACUGUACUCCAGCCAGAGCGAGACUCCAUCUCAAAAAAAAAAAAAAUCAAACAAGCUGUCAGUUCGUCUGACGAUUUCAUUAUUUUUAAGUAAAUUUAAUGACAGUUUAAUUAAACUGAGGGGGUUAUUAAACUGAAAGAAAAAAUUAAUAGCUCUGUUUUAAAAAAUUAAAAUUUUCAGAGAUGAAAAUUCAGAAAAAUAAACAACAUGCAAACAAAAACUUAUCUUCC
rnacentral:lncRNA from 1 species